AUUGAACGCUGGCGGCAGGCCUAACACAUGCAAGUCGAGCGGCAGCGCGGGGGCAACCCUGGCGGCGAGCGGCGAACGGGUGAGUAAUACAUGGGAAUCUGCCUAGUAGUGGGGGAUAACUCUGGGAAACUAGAGGUAAUACCGCAUACGCCCUACGGGGGAAAGGGGGGGAUCUUCGGACCUCUCGCUAUUAGAGGAGCCCAUGUCCGAUUAGCUAGUUGGUGAGGUAAAGGCUCACCAAGGCGACGAUCGGUAACUGGUCUGAGAGGAUGGUCAGUCACACUGGAACUGAGACACGGUCCAGACUCCUACGGGAGGCAGCAGUGGGGAAUAUUGGACAAUGGGGGCAACCCUGAUCCAGCCAUGCCGCGUGUGUGAAGAAGGCCUUCGGGUUGUAAAGCACUUUAAGUGGGGAGGAAGGCGUCGCUGGUUAAUAGUCAGC
rnacentral:rRNA from 1 species